CUGGAGAGGCCACGGGGAGCCACUGCAUCCUGGAAGAGUUGAGUGUGGUAGCCUGAGCCCUGGCCUUGAUUCUGCGACCUCGGGUGUGAACUCACCAGGUAGAAGACGGGGACGCUGGCAGGGACGCAGACCGUGCCUGAGCCGGCCUUCCUGUGUGGGCCCAGAUACCGGCUCAGGUCCCACCUCCCCUGGUGCUGUCCACACCAGGACAGCAGAAGCCUCAUGCCUGGUCCCCAGGGAUACGGUUCUGAAUCAAAACCUCUCACGGCACAUCGAAUUGAGCCUGACCAACGCCUGGGUCCUGGCAGUGGAGGCUGGGAGGAGAGUGUCUGGGAUUCUGUCCGGGGAGGCAGGGCUGUCACUGUGGGGAGCUAUGAACAUGGAUGGGGCUUGCUGAAGAGGGUCCCACCCCUGAGGACUUUGCAGCCUGGGCUGGCAGCCCUGAAUGAUACGGGGGACACCUGCAGGGGCCGCACCCCUGCAUAGACUGCAGUUAAUUCUGGGUUAAGCAAAGCCUGUGUUUCCCACACGGGCCCAGCUUCUGAUGUCUGGAAAGAUGAGGACCCGCACUUGCUUCCAUCAGCAGCAUGUCCUGUGCACACGAAGGUUGCACCGUCCUAAAAACACCACUGCGAUGACGAUCUGAGCUUUUAAGUGUCUCCUGCUGUCUGCAGCACGUUGAGCAGAAC
rnacentral:lncRNA from 1 species